rnacentral:lncRNA from 1 species
CUGGGACUAGCCCGCAGCAGAAGUGCAAGUAAUCUGUGUUCCCAGCUCAGAGCUCACUUUAGGGCGUUGGUCUAUGGAACUGAUCAUGGGAGAGUACUACUAAGCUUGAAAGAGGCCAGGUGCGGUGGUGUGCACCUGCAGUCCCAACUGCCCAGGAGGCUGAGGUGGGAAGAUCGCUUCAGCCCAGGAGUUCAAGGCUGUAGUGCACUAUAUCACACCUGUGAAUAGCCAUUGCAUUCCAGCCUGAGCAACACAGCAAGACUUCAUCUCUUAAAAAAAAAAAAAAAAUUCAGAACCCAUGUUCAGUAUAUUAAAAAAUGAAAAAGAAAACAAAAAAUUCGACCCCAGGGUACCCACCCUCUAGAAAAGAGACACAGAUAUUUUAAAGCUUUUCCCUCACUCAGAUUCUAGUUUCAUGACCUUUAUAAAAUCAUUCCCCCAUAUCCACUCCUUCCCUCACC